UCCCAGCAGUGGUUGGUCAGGAUGUGAGAGU
rnacentral:piRNA from 1 species